UACGUAGGGGGCAAGCGUUGUCCGGAUUUAUUGGGCGUAAAGAGCGUGUAGGCGGCCAUACAGGUCCGUUGUGAAAACUCGAGGCUCAACCUCGAGAUGUCGAUGGAAACCGUCUGGCUAGAGUCCGGAAGAGGAGUGUGGAAUUCCUGGUGUAGCGGUGAAAUGCGCAGAUAUCAGGAAGAACACCUAUGGCGAAGGCAGCACUCUGGGACGGUACUGACGCUGAGACGCGAAAGCGUGGGGAGCGAACAGG
rnacentral:rRNA from 1 species